rnacentral:tRNA from 1 species
AGGAUUAUAGUUAAAAAUAACAUUUGAUUUGCAAUCAAAAAUUAUUAAUAUUUUAAAUUAAUUUAUCUUA